GAUGAACGCUGGCGGCGUGCCUAAUACAUGCAAGUCGAGCGAACGGACGAGAAGCUUGCUUCUCUGAUGUUAGCGGCGGACGGGUGAGUAACACGUGGAUAACCUACCUAUAAGACUGGGAUAACUUCGGGAAACCGUAGCUAAUACCGGAUAAUAUUUUGAACCGCAUGGUUCAAAAGUGAAAGACGGUCUUGCUGUCACUUAUAGAUGGAUCCGCGCUGCAUUAGCUAGUUGGUAAGGUAACGGCUUACCAAGGCAACGAUGCGUAGCCGACCUGAGAGGGUGAUCGGCCACACUGGAACUGAGACACGGUCCAGACUCCUACGGGAGGCAGCAGUAGGGAAUCUUCCGCAAUGGGCGAAAGCCUGACGGAGCAACGACGCGUGAGUGAUGAAGGUCUUCGGAUCGUAAAACUCUGUUAUUAGGGAAGAACAUAUGUGUAAGUAACUGUGCACAUCUUGACGGUACCUAAUCAGAAAGCCACGGCUAACUACGUG
rnacentral:rRNA from 1 species